GAGGAACAAAAGAAUGAUAGAAAUAGAUCUGUUAUGGUUCAGAGCACAACAGAUUUAGAUUUAAGUAUGUGGAGCUCAUCAACAAAUUGAACAAGUACAAUUCCAAAGUUUAACAUCUUGGGGGUAAUGGCGGAUGGGAGUUAUAGGUUGCUGAAACGAGAGCGCUGAAGAAGGAUUUAACAAAUAAGGUACAAGCUUCAUUUCAUAAACAUUAACACACAGUCUUUGCGUUGGCUGAUGGAACAAGCUUUAUUUUUCUUUGUGGUUACAUGAAUCUACUUGCUACUGGUUCGGGUUUGGUUUUGAACAUGUUUCUGAGAUUGACCUUGACAAAGAUCCGCUAAAGAAGGACGGUUGUUCUUGAACGCCACGUCAGGGAGCAAUAUAUUUUUUUGACAAAGAGACUAAUGCAGGGGAGAACAUUGAUUGUGGGAACAUCUUCAAGUGGUCUCACCUCCAAAAGGUGGACGUAAGUGGUAAGAUCGUUGGAAAUCAGCAACUGUGAGAACAUCUUCAAGUGGACUCCCCUCCAAAAGGGUAGCAAUAGCAACUACCAAGGUGACCAAGAAGGACGAGUGGCUUAAGUGAAGAUGAUAAAUUACCUGGAUGCAGUUCUUUUUGAAUAAUGCUUAUGUAUCGAUGUUGUUUUCCUUCUUUUUUAACCUUUGAGUACUUAUGUUUUUGAAACUCUCUAUAAAAUGCUUAUUUAUCAAAUU